CGUCAUGCCCUACGAUCCUGGUGCGGGCUACUCCAGGCUCUGACCGUUCGGCGGCGGAGGCUGCUCUGCAAAAGGCGAGUUACCUGUGCUGAGAAGUAGUAAGAGCUUAUUGGUAUACUGUGCAAAUGAAGAAAGAUGAAAAAGUGAAGACUGCCUCUCACGGUCCUCGGCGCCGAAUCAUUUAAGUCGACGUUUGGAUGUGUUUCCCCCUAGACACGUGCGAGGCGCGCGGAGCAGGUGGAGAAGGCGAACCGUGGGUUUGGUCUGGAGCCGCGCUCCGCCGGGACGGCUGAAGAGCAGGGAGGGCCGGGGAGACGCCUGAGGGGAUGACAAGCAGUCCAGGCUCGGCAGCCGAAGAGCGAAGGCUGGACGGAGAGGAAAGGAUCAGAAGUAGUAGUUUAAAUGUGUCAAGAUUUUACAGUGCCUUCAUAUGAGAAGGACACCUAAAAAUUUGAAUGGGGACCUGUGGGAAGAUCCUGGUGAAACUGGGGACAUUGAGCUCCUAAAUUCUGUGGAUUCUUUUUUGCCAGUAGAAGCAAGCCUUCCACCCCAUCUGAGGAUAUUGACUCCGCUAUCAAGUGGGAACCUGUGGUGGCCUCUUCUGAGGUAGCUGCCUCAGAAGACACUGCUGAUUCCUCAGGACCUACCCUAGGAACCCCUCUUUGCUUCUAGAACUAUGACAAGACUCAAGUCCCUACAAGGCCCAAAAGGUGCAGAGGGAAGGAACUGGGAGCACACAGCAAGAAACUGGCUGUUCACAAGCUAGGACCUGACCCUGCUGGCACCUUGAUCUUGGACUUCCAGCCUCCAAAACUGUGAGAAAAAAAUAAAUAUCUGUUGU